rnacentral:tRNA from 2 species
GCCGCCAUAGCUCAGUUGGUUAGAGCGCUAGAUUGUGGAUCUAGAGGUCCCUGGUUCGAGCCCAGGUGGUGGUACCA